UACGGAGGGGGCUAGCGUUGUUCGGAAUUACUGGGCGUAAAGCGCACGUAGGCGGCUUUGUAAGUUAGAGGUGAAAGCCUGGGGCUCAACUCCAGAACUGCCUUUAAGACUGCAUCGCUUGAACACGGGAGAGGUGAGUGGAAUUCCGAGUGUAGAGGUGAAAUUCGUAGAUAUUCGGAAGAACACCAGUGGCGAAGGCGGCUCACUGGACCGUUGUUGACGCUGAGGUGCGAAAGCGUGGGGGAGCAAACAGG
rnacentral:rRNA from 1 species